AAACAUAAAAAAAAAAAAGAAAACCCUAAACUGAGUUACUGAAUCAGCACUCAGCAGCUCCUGCGCCGCAAGCCCGAAGUGCCGCACUCCAUCUCCAGAUUCACGGACUGAAUCAGUGCUACACUGCUACAGGCUGCUACUCACCUCAUGGCUCACGGAUCAUGGUCUCAGUGGCUCACAGCCUCACACGAGGAUUUCGGAUUUCCGGCGUUAACCUAGCUGGCCAGCUCACCUCACGUCGCCGUCGGACUCGUUCCCAGUUCUCACUUCUCAUUUCGGGGUUCUCUAUUUUCUGGUGGAAAUCUGCAAUAUAUAUUUCAAUGAGUUCGGCAGCAGGAAUUUGAUUCAUUUAGACAUGAUGACCUUGCUGCCCAUAUGCAAAAAAGUCAAUUGGAUCUUUACUUGGAUGAACCUAAGGCAGACAGAAAUGCAAAGAUUGACAUUCUUUCUUUUUGGAAAGGAAAUGAGUUUCGUUAUCCUGAUCUUGCUUGUAUAGCUCGUGAUAUUUUGAGUGUUCCAGUUUCUACAGUAGCAUCUGAAUUUACUUUUAGUGUUGGUGGGCGUAUCAUUGAUCAGUUUAGGAGUGCACUAAAAGUAGAUAUUGUUGAAGCAUUAGUCUACACUAGAGAUUGGCUAUAUGGCGAGGAGCAAUGUAACAUUAUUUUUACCUUAUUGAAUAAAUAAUUGUAAUUUUUCAAUACAAUAAUAUUAUUUGAUAUAAAAUUUUACUGAUAUCUUUUUUUUAAUAGAAACACAAGAGGUUAAAUUGGACGAGUUAACCGAAGAUGUAAUGGAGUUGGAGAAAAACAAGGACAAGGAGGACGCUCCACCUUAUUCUUGAAGCUCUAAAUUUGUUUAGAUCUGUGUUUUUAUUGUAUUUGGGAUUGUAAAAUUAAUAUAUUUUCUGUGUGUUUUGUUUAUUAUUUUGGGAUGUAAUAUUAAUAUAUUAGUACAAUGUGUGUGGA